rnacentral:rRNA from 1 species
GAUGAACGCUGGCGGCGUGCCUAACACAUGCAAGUCGAGCGAAAAGACGAGGAGCUUGCUUUCCUGACGUUAGCGGCGGGCGGGUGAGUAACAUGUGGAUAACACACCUAUAAGACUGGGGUAACUUAGGGAAAACGGAGCCAAUAACGGCAAAUAUAUUCAACCGCAUGGUUCAGUAGCGAAAGACGGCUUUGCUGUGACUUAUAGAUGGAUCCGCGCCGCAUUAGCUAGUUGGUAGGGUAACGGCUUACCAAGGCGACGAUGCGUAGCCGACCUGAGAGGAUGAUCGGCCACACUGGAACUGAGACACGGUCCAGACUCCUACGGGAGGCAGCAGUGGGGAAUCUUCCGCAAUGGGCGAAAGCCUGAUGGAGCAACGCCGCGUGUGUGAUGAAGGUCUUCGGGUCGUAAAGCUCUUUUAUUGGGGAGGAACGAAUGUGUGAUUAUCUCUGCACUUCUUGACGUUACCCGAACAAGAAGCCCCGGCUAACUACGUG